GCUCAGUUGGUUGAGCAUGGCACUUGCAAUGCCAGGGUUGUGGGUAUGAUUCCCAC
rnacentral:tRNA from 1 species